AUGGAUACUACUAUACUGAAUAUGCAGAAUCUGUUUGAGCAGCUUGUGCUCGGGGCGGAGAUUCUCAGUGAAGGAAACGAACUGCAAUUUAUCCAGCUGGUGAAGGACUUUGAGGAUUUCUUUAAAACGUGGGAGAGGACUGACUAUGAGCUGGGGGAAAUACAAGGAUCUUUUGAUAAAAGCAGAGACUGAGUGAAAUGCUCUGGAUGUUAAGCUGAAGCAUGCAUAUAAUCAGGUGGAUGCAGACAUCCAAACGGAGAGCUGAGGCUGCCUGCCAAAAGCUGGAAUGACAGAUUCAGCUGAUUCGAGAGAUGUUCAUGUGUGACAUAUCUGGCCAACUAAGCAGGGAGCAAAAAUCAGCUUUGGCUUUUCUCAACAGAGGCCAACCAUCCAGCAGCAAUGCUGGGAACAAAAGACUAUCAAUCAUCGAUGAAUCUGGUUCCAUUUUAUCAGAUAUCAGCUUUGACAAGACUGAUGAAUUACUGGAUUGGGACUCUUCUUUGGUGAAGACUUUCAAGCUGAAGAAGAGAGAAAAGAGGCGCUCUAGUAGCCGACAGUUUGUUGAUGGUCCCUCUGGACCUGUAAAGAAAACCCGUUUCAUUGGCUCCACAGUAGACCAGGGGGAAUGAAUCCAUAGUUGCAAAAACUACUGUGACUGUUCCCAGAGAUGGCGGGCCCAUCAAAGCUGUGUCCACUAUUGAGACUGUGCCAUAUUGGAUCAGGAGCCAAAGGAAAACAGGUACUUUACAACCUUGGAACAGUGACCCCACCCUGAACAGCAGGCAGCUGGAGCCAAGAAUUGAGACAAUGUGGGCACGCCAGAGAGUAACAGAGGGAUGUACCUGCAUGACUUUGUCUCUAAGACGGUUAUUAAACCUGAAUUCUAUGUUCCAUGUGGAAAGCAGAUAAAAUUUGGGAAACUAUCUCUGAAGUGUGGAGACUGUUGUGUGGUCUGUCAUCCAGAAUGUCGGGACCACUGUCCCCUUACCUGCAUUCGUACUCUGAUAGGAACACCUGUCAAGAUUGGAGAGGGAAUGCUGGCGUACUUCGUAUCCCAGACCUCUCCAAUGAUCCCCUCCAUUGUUGUGCAUUGUGUAAAUGAGAUUGAGCAGAGAGGUCUUACUGAGACAGGCCUGUAUAGGAUCUUGGGCGGUGACCGCACAGUAAAAGCUGAAAGAGAAAUUCCUCAGAGUGAAAACUGUACCCCUCCUCAGCAAAGUGGAUGAUAUCCACGCUAUCUGCAGCCUUCUAAAAGACUUUCUUCGAAACUUCAAAGAACCUUUCGCCUAAACAAAGCUUUUAUGGAAGCAGCAGAAAUCACAGAUGAAGACAACAGCAUAGCUGCCAUGUACCAGGCUGUUGGUGAACUGCUCCAGGUCAACAGGGACACACUCGCUUUCCUCACGAUUCACUUGCAGAGAGUAGCUCAGAGUCCACAGACUAAAAUGAAUGCUGCCAAUCUGGCUAAAGUCCUUGCCCUAUAAUAGCGGCCCAUGCUGUGCCCAAUCCAGACCCAGUUACAAUGUUACAGGACAUCAAGUGUCAACUCAAGGUGGUCAAGCGCCUACUUUCCUUGCCCCUGGAGUAUUGGAGUCAGUUCACCAUAGUGGAGCAAGAGAACAUUGACCCCCUACAUGUCAUUGAAAACUCAAAUGCCUUUUCAACAUCACAGACACCAGAUAUUAAAGUGAGUUUACUGGCAUCUGUGACCACUCCUGGACAUCAGCUUCUCAAGACUCCUUCAUCUAGUUCCCUGUCACAGAGAGUCAGUUCCACCCUCACAAAGAACACUCCCAGAUUUGGAAGCAAAAGCAAGUUUGCCACCAACCUAGGACGACAAGGUAACUGUUUUACUUCUUCAAUGUUCCAGUGAAGUCACAUCUGCCUAUUACUCCCAGCACUGACUGACUAUAAGAAAGGACACCUGUACUCUCUGCUCUGCAGCCUCCUGUACUCAUUACUACUUUUAGCAUUCUCCAG